CAAAGUUUCAACAGUUUCUUAUGGUGAAGAAAAACCUGCAGUAUUAGGUCAUGACGAAGCGGCAUAUUCUAAAAACCGUCGUGCUGUAUUAGCAUACUAAUUUUAGAUAAGUUUGAUUUUCUAAGGGUAGAGAUUUAGAUCUCUACCUUUUA
rnacentral:other from 1 species